rnacentral:rRNA from 1 species
CAGCUCUCCGAGUUGUAGGGAUGAUUAUUGGGCUUAAAGCGUCCGUAGCCGGCUUAGCAAGUCUCCUGUUAAAUUCAGCGACCUAAUCGUUGAGCCGCGGGAGAUACUACUAGGCUAGGAGGCGGGAGAGGUCAACGGUACUUUCGGGGUAGGGGUGAAAUCCUAUAAUCCCGGGAGGACCACCAGUGGCGAAGGCUGUCGACUAGAACGCGCUCGACGGUGAGGGACGAAAGCUGGGGGAGCGAACCGGAUUAGAUACCCGAGUAGUCC